rnacentral:rRNA from 1 species
GGAAGGAUCAUUAUCCAUCUCAACCAGGUGCGGUCGCGGC